UAGCGCGUUUACUAAUCCGUAAUCAAAUUGAGAGGAAUUGGAUUGAGAAGGAAUUAGAUUAAGGAGGAAUUGAAAUGAGGUGGAAUCAGAAUCAGAUUCCUGUUGAAGUUGUUUACUAAAACUGUUCGGAAUCGGAAUAAAAUUCCAUAAAGCUGUUUACUAAUUCAGCAGAAUCGGAAUAUAAACCAGUAUGAUUACUAAAAUGCCCUUGUCUCAAAUCAAAUAUUUUAUAUAUUUUUUUGUAAUAAAAUUUGAUAUAGUAUAUAAUAGUAAGAAAAAAUUAAAUUGCUUUUUUAUUUCAUAGACAUAGUAAAAUGAUUUUGUUUAUUUUUUUUAUAAAUUUAAGUAUUGACUUUAAUAUCUAAAUUUUCUCGCUCAAGUUGUAGUUUUUUCUCUUCAGCAUAUGUAUGAAGUUGUGCAUAAUAUGAAUGAACAUAGAAUUAUGCUUAAUGAGCUAGUAGCACAUGCAACGAGGGGAAAAUAAGUCUAGGGUUAAAAGGAUAAUCUUGAAAAUAAUGAAAGUAAGUGAGGGAAUAAAGGGAAAAAAAAUUAUCAUUCCGAUUGCUUGAGCAAUCCGGAAUCCAAAUACCUUCUAUAUGUUGGGAAUCUAAAUCCUCCAAUUUCAGGAAUUGGAUUCCAUUUUUUGUGUGGGCCCCACGCACUUUUGAUUCAUCCCAAUUUUAGUAAACACAGGUAUAAUCCGUAAUCGGAAUCGGAUUCCUUAUUCUCAUUCCGAUUACGGGUUAGUAAACGCGCUAUUAGUUAAGUCAUUCCCACCAUUUCACUUCAUCAUAUGUUUAUAGGCUUCUCCUGAAUGUAAGCACAUACUUUGUAUACCCCAGAAGUGGACAAAUACGGUGUAUGAGUCACAAACGAUUAGAGCCUACCAUGGUGGAAGGCCACGAAUGAGUGUUCAAAGUACUCUCAUACUUGUCAACUUAAUAAUGGUUUGGUUGAGGGUUUUUAGGUCUGAUCACAUAGAAGCAUUCAUUUUAAUCAACAUUAAACAAUUUGGUCCUAUUACAACUAUUGGUCCAUGUGAUUGAUUUAGUAGUAUAUGAUACUCCCACUAUGCUUGUAAAACGGUUUUUUAUUUUUUUUAUUAUUUUUUAUUUUUUAUUUAUUUUUUUAAAGCAAGAGUAUAUGGUACUACUAACAUAAACUUUGCAUUCAUUGAUGGACUAUAUAGUUGCCUUAGGGCCUUAGGAUGACUAUGAACCUUUGAUUCGAUCCAACAUGAGCCUAGUGUUGGAUCUUGGUCUAGGGAUGGUGAUUGAUUUUAGUUACACGUUUGAUCACAUUAAGGCAUGUUUUCUUAUUGGGCGUUGGACCCUACUACCCCAAUUUCAUGCAUAUCAAAUAAAACAAGAAAUGAGCACUUCAAAGUAAAGAAGAGCUUAUGCUCUUUUCCAACAUUUGAUCAAAACAAAUUACUUGAAAGUAAAGAAGAGCUUAUGCUCUUUUACAACAUUUGAUCAUAUCAAAUUACAACCAAAAUCUAAUCGACACAUUCCCAUGGUUCAAACAAAUUUGAGAGACGGCCUUUCACAUAGCUCAAUUAUCGUUAGGUUCAUAAUCACCCUUUCUUUAAUUAAUUAACGUUUUAACUAAUUAAACUUGAAUGCAACAUUGUCCUUCGGUUUUUGUAUCCAUAGAAUUGAUUUAGAUGGAGCUAAACGAAAUGAAAAUCCAAUUCUCAUUUAACGAUACAAAACUAUUUUGAUCUCAACUCAUUUGGGCCAAAAUGCAAUAACCUCAACUUUUUGCGCUAUAUUGCAAAACACAAAACUUUUGAGGUUACUUUGUAAAAACACAAAAGUCCACUACUUCAUGUAAUUACAACUAGAACCCAAAAGUUUCAACAAAAGCAAAAACUUCAUUAAAGGAGCAAAACAAUUUGUCAUUUAGUGUUUUUAGGCCUUUACGUAAAAACGUAAACUUUCGUGACACACCCCGACCCUGAAAGGUUGAACCAUGCUGACCAUCAUCGUGAGAUGAUGUAACCAUAAAGGUAAGUGAUGCAAAAAGUAAAUGAAAUUAAAACUAAUUAGAACUAAUUAUACUAAACAGUGAAAGAGUGCGCAAUCGUGGGACGAACCCACUACAAUUAUUCAGAGUGUAAUAGACAGUGAGACUACAGAAGAGUAGUCAAGAUAACUAAAGUACACUUAUUACACAACAGUGAUAAGUUUGUACAUCUAAACAGGAGAUAAUGUCAGAAUUGCCAAGAUUCCUCAAGUGCCACAAAGAGUACAACUAACUAGGUCCUAGAGGGGCAAAAAACAAAAUUGAGUGGGUCAACAAAACAAUGCUUAAUGAAACCUUUAUUUUCGAAAUAUACUAACCCCUUGCCGUAAAACAAGUAUAGCUUCCUUAAAACAUACUAAGUAACUAUGUAAAUGAUCAAUCAAAAAUAUUAUAACUAGAAAUAUGCCAAUUCAUGAUAUAUCAAAAGCCACAAUCAUAAAAUCAUGUGAUAAUCAAGUAUAGCUAAGUGCGCAUCCAUCUAAGCUGACACACGAGUUCGAACAGAUAAUUUCUGACACGAACAAGACUGGGUGUAAUCAAUAUGCUUUAGUACUACGAUCAUAUGAAGACUGGUGCAGGAGCACAUCACAUACAAGUCGGAUUGCCUAAUGCAAUCUACCUGACUGGACUGGCACCUAACUUGGAUCCAAGGCGAGCAAAUGGUGCAUUGUGAACAUACACGUGAAGGACUGGCCCUGGCCCUAGGGCGAGUACUAACACCGGGGUGUAGCAAGAUGAGCAUUACAAAUAUGUAUGAAUGUCAUGACAGUAAUAUCUCAACCAUAUAGCAACAUUUAUCACAUUUAUAUCACAUUUAACAAUUAUUUGGCAUUAUAUACACAAGUGGUGCAUUUACGAAAUUUUGGAAACUAUAAAUACGUAUAGAUAUAAAAAUAAACUGCCCAUUCACAAGUACGU
rnacentral:lncRNA from 1 species